rnacentral:rRNA from 1 species
AAGGGCACCACAAGAACGCGUGGAGCAUGUGGCUUAAUUUGACUCAACGCGGGAAAACUUACCGGGUCCGGACACACUGAGGAUUGACAGGCGACCAUUUGUAAAUAUGCUAGUCCUUUCAUGAUUGUGUGAUAGGUGGUGCAUGGCCGUUCUUAGUUCGUGGAGUGAUCUGUCUGCUUAAUUGCGUUUCAGAUAAAUGUGAGGUAUAGAGUGUAUGUUGUGUUUCGUUUUGCUUUGUUCACUCAUCGCAUACGGCCGACUGAACUCUCCUCCAUUGAAAGCAACGAACGUGACCGCAACCCUUUGUUGAAUCUAACUAGAUUAUUUUCAAACUAAGGGGACCGCCAGGGUUUGUAAAACCGGAGGAAGGUUGCGGCAAUAACAGGUCUGUGAUGCCCUUAGAUGUUCCGGGCUGCACACGUGCUACAAUGAUUGUCGCAGAAAGCAUCUAUAUUUGAUUGUUCUCUGAAAACUUACACUUCUUUUGUUAGUUGUGGAGUUGGAAGGAACCACACUAUGGAUCACACAUUGUUCGUGUUUUACACUUACUUUGUGAUAAUGAACCGAGUGUGCAACCUACCUCGAAAGUUCGGUAGGCAAUCAAUUCCAAGUGACAAUCUCCCUGUGUGCACUAAUCAAAUGUUACUGUGGUGGAUUCUUCACGGAUGAAACGUUACACAGUUGACAUGUGCUCUAUUAAUUCGUGGUCGGGACAGACCAUUGCUAAUUGUUGGUCUCGGUCUCAACUAGGAAUGCCUUGUACGGGUCUUUGGUUCAACAAACCACCCGGAAUACGUCCCUGCCCUUUGUACACACCGCCCGUCGCUCUUACCGAUGGACUACUCUGUGAGUUUGAGGGACUGGUCUUCUCUCGUAUUUAUUUACGUGGAGCAAAACUAUGGAAACUUACACGAACAGUGUGGUCUAAAGGAAAGAGAAGUCG